GUGAGUGGGGGUGGGGACAAGGAGCCGCCCAGACAUGUGAUCUGGCAGCCCCGUGGGCUGGGGGAAGAGAAAUGAAGCCGAUUUCCACAAGCGUGGGCCAUACGGAGAGUUAACGCCAGUGCACGGACUCGCCCUUGGUCGUGACCCAGCCAGUUUGGGGCCUACGUGGCCAGUCAGUUCUGGGCUAGCGGCCCCGGCCCCAGGAGAUCCCGCUGUGGGCAGAGCUCUCGUUCUGUGCUGGAGAUUUGGGUCCUUGUAGGGGAACUCGGGGUGAGGUUGAGCGCACGGAUGGUGAAGCUCUGUGUCCUUCGGGGAGAGGCAGGGAAGCCCCACAGCAGGUGGGUGCGUGGGGCCCCAGACAUUGUGGGGUCCUCAGCAAUGUCUCGUGCUUGUGAGGGCCUGACACCCACUGGGGCCAGCCCGUGUGGAGGGCCGCAGUGUCUGGGGCCCUGAUGGGCCAUCUUGGGGCUUCCUGGGCAGGAAGGGGACCCAGCAGGCCCCUUGGGGGGAAGCUGGGAAGCCACUGCCUCUCUCAAGCCCCCGUGUCCUGCUUCUUCUUCUUCUACUGCUCUGCUCUGUUCGGCUCGCUGGGCUGGCCUGCCCCAUGCCUGGGCAGUGACCACUCGGCUCCACGCCCACCCCUGACCUGUGUCUCUGGCUUCAGUCCCACUGGGCCUGCUGCCUCGGCUCACAUGCCCAUUCCAGGUCUGGAGCUGGCAGCAGCCAGGGAAGACUGUCACCACGGAGACGAGCAGGCUACACACCACACCCGAACAGACACUGUGCACAGCUCUGCCGGCUCCUGCCACUCCUCUGAAGGGCCCCUUCAUCUUUCCAAAGGUCGCUUGUUUUCCUAUAAGUGCCCUUCUCCCUUCCCCUGUCAACUCCCCCUAAGAUGGCAGAUAAGCCCCAAAUUCUAACCACUGCUUUGAGUCACAUUUCUCUGUGAACUCCCAAGUACAUACAUACGUGAAUAAAAAUCUGUCUUUUC
rnacentral:lncRNA from 1 species